rnacentral:rRNA from 1 species
CCUACGGGUGGCAGCAGUGGGGAAUAUUGGACAGUGGGCGAAAGCCUGAUCCAGCCAUGCCGCGUGUGUGAAGAAGGCCUUCGGGUUGUAAAGCACUUUCAGUGGGGAAGAAAGCCUUGGGGCUAAUACCCUCGAGGAAGGACAUCACCCACAGAAGAAGCACCGGCUAACUCCGUGCCAGCAGCCGCGGUAAUACGGAGGGUGCGAGCGUUAAUCGGAAUUACUGGGCGUAAAGCGCGCGUAGGCGGUCUGAUAAGCCGGUUGUGAAAGCCCCGGGCUCAACCUGGGAACGGCAUCCGGAACUGUCAGGCUAGAGUGCAGGAGAGGAAGGUAGAAUUCCCGGUGUAGCGGUGAAAUGCGUAGAGAUCGGGAGGAAUACCAGUGGCGAAGGCGGCCUUCUGGACUGACACUGACGCUGAGGUGCGAAAGCGUGGGUAGCAAACAGGAUUAGAUACCCCUGUAGUC